UUCCUUUUACAGAAAUAAAAAUCCUACGGCAGAUUGGAACUACUGAGACUUUUCUUGACCUGUGUCACCCGUCAUCAUUUGUCUGGAGACCUUGAAAUACUUUGACUAGAAACUGUUUUACGUAAGUUACAAAAGUUCGUUUCGUUUGGGUGGGGAAAAAUGUAACAGAAUAAAAUAU